ACAAAGAAGGAUCCAUGAAAAGAGUAUGAAAUUUGCUAAAUGAGAUUUAGAAAAUGAACAUAGAACCUAGGAAGCUCAAGAAACACAAAGAGUGAGGAGUAUUGAGUGAGUUGCUGGUAUUUAUAGACUACAAACUUACAACAAUGGGGCUGGCUCCUUAAUUAAUUUGGUUUUAUCUGGGGUUUGCACACCCAGUGGAAAUUUAUCGGGCUAAUUUGUGGUGAUAAAUUUUAUUAGGUAAACAAUAAAGAAAUGAAAUGAUUUUGGCAAUCAUUUUUUCUCCCCUUUAUUCAUUUUUUUUAGCAGUCGAAUUGAAUAAAUAAAAAGAAGAAUUAUGGGAGGGAAACAAAGGAUUAAUUAAAACUUAGUUCUUAAGUUUAUAAUUAAUUUAUAAGGUAUGCGGGUUAACCUAAACGCGAUAUGUUUAUAAUAAACGACAAGUAAGUUCAGAGUUACGUCAUUUAACACGAUUAAAUUAGGUUCUUAUCCUUCAUUUUGCUACUCUAUUGAUUAAAAUCCUAUUCAUUUUCAAUUUUUGAUCAAGGUCCUUAGGUAUUAAACAUCAUUAAUUAUUUCAAUAAUAAAAUUUUUUUUUAUUUCUAAAUAUAUUCAUUUAAUGUUAAAAAUGUUACAAUUAGUAUAUUUAUAUUUAUGACUAAAUUGUUUUAUCAUAUAUUUUUAGUUUUAGUUUGUACCCAUUUUUAAUUUGUAAUUCUUUUUUUAAUUUGUACCAAUUUUCUUUUCAGUUUUAAUUUGUACCCAUAUAUUAAUUUCUUUUUGUGCCCAUAUUUUUAAAAGUUUAUUUGUAUUUGUACCCAUAUUUUUUUUAUUUGUACUUUUUAUUUUGCUAAAUGUACUCAUGCUAAUUAUAUGUACCCAUUCAUGUAAAGCUUUUUAAUCUUAAAAAGUACUCAUUCUUAAAUAUACCAAUUUGUUAUAUGUAAAAUGUACCUUUUUUUAUAUAAAAUCUAUUCAAUUUUUUUCUAAUCCAUUUUUAAACUUAUAUGGGUACAUUAAUUCUUUAUUCUUUGAUUUUAAAAUGUAUCCAUGUCAAGUUUAAUCGAAGAAAUUUACUAAUGUUAUUAAGCCUAAUAUCUUUUUUUUUUUUUUUUUUUUUUUUGUGAUUUUGAAGAAUGUACCCAUGUUUUGAUACAAUAAAUUUUUUGGUUAAUUUUGAUGAAUGUACCCAUGUUUAUACACACACACACACACAAUAGUAUAUUUAUAUUUUAAUCUUUUUAAUCCCACAAAUUAUGGUUUUUUAUUUAAAAUCUCAUUUAUAUAAACAACUAAAAUUUUUAAUUUUUAAUUUAAAAAUAUAGUAACGUACAUAGAAAUAAAUUACCACAUUAAUUUCAAGGACCUCGAUCAAAAGUUAAAAACCAACAAGGUUUCAAUCAAAGAACAUUCAUAGCUAAGGACCACAUCCAAAGUCUCCCUUAAUUAAAUGUGAUGAAAAAUGACAAAUUUUCCCUACAAAUCCAAGUAAUAGUGAUUAUAGAGUUGAAUGUAAUAGACAUAUACUGAUUAGGUGAUAUAAAUAUGUGAUUUCCCUAAUAUUACUCAUUACAUUAUUAUAAAUAUGUGAUUUCCCUAAUAUUACUCACUUAGUACUACAAUUUAGUGAUAUUCCUUUUCACUUGUAAGUAAGAGGUCUUAGGUUCGAUUCUCGCCAAAGACGAAUUUGAACCACACUAUUGCUAGCCUCUUGUGAGGCUAAGCCUACAUCUUCCCGCUUAGUGUAGAUAAUAUCAUAAUAUCAUUUGUUUAAAAAAAAAAGAUAAUAUUUUUUUGUUAUAAAAAAAAAAAAACAAAGGCUGGUGGGAGGUUGAUAAAUAAACAUGCCUUUGAUGAAUAUAGAUUAUUAGUUAUUACAAUAAUAAGACUUGUGUACAAAACCAUUUCAUAUAUAUGUCUUACAAUCUAAUAUAUCCCACAUGACUGUAUGAUGAAUGAUGGCAAUCUAAGUUCCUUGACCACAUAUAAUGUAUUAGAAAUACAAAAAUAAGGGAGGUCUCAUGUUUGAGGCUCCAAGAUGCUGAGUUUGCUUGAUUGUGGUCGAGGAAGGCUAAAAUGUCUCUGUGAGUCUUUUCAGCCCUCAGAAGGGGUGAAUAAUCGUGGCUAGCCACCAGUCCUUUUUUUUUAAAGGAAAAAAAAUGUAUUAGAGAAAUAUUUUAAUUUAUAAUAAGUCUAUCUGUUACGUCACAGUCGUUGCGUGACUUAUCAUUAAUUAUGAGAAAUCGAACAGUUGUCACGUGACUUAUCAUUAAUUAAGAGAAACCGAACAUCUUUAAUAGUAUGAAUGUCCUUACAAAUGAAAAUAAAUAUUGCAUCUUGAUUCUUUUUAAACUUAAAUAGGGUCGGAUUUUCAAUUAGUAUCUUUCUUUUUAGCUAGAGAUUUGAGGAUUGCAGAUUUAAUCAUGUUUAGCCGGAAUUGAAUUGUGUUACUGACUUUUUGACUCAGUUUGGGCACGAUCAAGAUUUGGACUUCACAACUUUUGUGAACCUUAGAGUGGUUUAGUUUAUAAUUUAGUCUUUUAGGAGAUGGAUUAGAAUGACCUUUUUAGGGCCAGACAAUGAUUAUGUUUGGCUUCAACACCCUCUUUAGCGAAAACAAAAUAAUAAUUUCCUUCUCUUUAUCCUACUAUUCAUUUUUGCCAUUUAGAAGAUUACGAAAGAACACCGAUUAACUCACUCAAACUUUUUAUCUUUACAUGUCACAUGAAAUAUCUGAGCAAGAACACUGAGCUAAUCCUCAAUAAACUUUUUUUAACAAACGAUAACGGUAAUGAGUUAAAUUGUUAGUUGUUAAAGGAGAGAGGGAUUGGUGGGAUCGAUAAAUAUCUUCCCUCUUUUCUUCAGUUAAUCGAGCAGGCCCAAACAGUUACAAUCAUUGAUGCACAGCUUAUGGUACCAAGUAUCAUUUCCAAUAUUCAAGUUUAACAGCAUCAAAACUCAAAUGCCAAAAAUAACAUUCAAUCCAAAAUUGACUAGCAAUUACUGAUUCCGAAGCACUACCAAAGACCUCCUCCUUCGGGUUAAACCCGCUGUAUGUAUCAGUUUGUUCAUCUUACACUAACUUGUUAAACUAUUCAUUUUUGGAAGCUUUGGAAACUAACAUGUGCCACUAACUAGAAAAUACCAACUCACAACACCAUAGGUGCAUGCACUAGCAUCAAGCAAAGAUCCGUGAUUUAACGCUUCUUCUUGCUUCCUUUUGCAGCACCGGAUUUGGAUGGACUGGCAACCAGGUACACAAAUAGAACCACGAUGGAGACAACAGAGAUCAGAGACCCGUACUUUGCCAGAAACCUCUGCAUAUAAGAAAAGGUCGAGAUGUUAGGGAUGAAGCAAAGGAAUGUUCAGUUCAGAAAAUAUUGUAAAGUUCGUGAUGACUUUGACAAAUUCAGAGAACAAAAGAUUCAACAGCAUAUAAAAGAGUAUUUCAUACCUUAACCUGAAAAGUCAGGCCCCCAGCAGAGAUAAUUUCAUGAAACCACAAAACACCACCUCAGUUAACACCGUAAAAGUUGUCCGAAAUCAGAUUGCAUAAUAUAACCCUUAUUUAAUGGAACUUACCCACUGAAACUUCUUCUCAGGAGGCCUGUCUGCCAGAACAUCCAAAGGAAAUAUUGGAGUUGAAUAAGACUCCUAUAAGAAACAGAAAAAAGUC
rnacentral:lncRNA from 1 species